CUACACAUAUAUGAUUUUUUGGAUAUCUAAGGAUCAAUAAACUUGAGUGGCUGUCAAGUCUUUUAAAUCUUGAAACAUUGGAGAGUCUGAAGAAAGAAGUAUAUGAUCUCUUAGAUUCUCUCUCCUUUUGGAUUGUUGGAAAAAAUUGUUGUGAAUGGAAAAGGGUUGUGUGCCACAAUCUGACUCGUCAUGUGAUUGAGCUACACAUAUAUGAGUUAUUUUGGACAUCUAAGAAUCAAUAAACUUGAGUGGUUGCCAAGUCUUUUAAAUCUUGAGAAACUGGAGAUUGAUUAUGUGGAUCUCAGCAAAGCAACUAACUGGCUACAGAUCUGGCUGGAGAACAAAACUCUGACGAAGACCCUGCUCCGGUGAAACUCCAUUGUUGUUGACCGUUUUGACUGUUCGUAGGUUUUUACUGAAUCAUGCUCGUUGCUCCAUCUAGUUGUAGCUCUGUUUCUGUUAUUAAACAUAUCUACUUUUGAUUUUUGGUUGAUUUUGCGUUAUAUUGGAUUUUCACUCCGGCAUUUCGCCGUUGAAACGAUGUCCCUCUUAUUUGUGCGAGAAGAGUUUUAGAAGACGAAGGAGACUAAUUAAUUAUGUAAUGUCCAAUUAAAAUACGACACUUGUACCUGUUAAUCAAUUUUAAAAUUAUUUUUGUAA